UACGUAGGGGGCAAGCGUUGUCCGGAAUCAUUGGGCGUAAAGAGCGUGUAGGCGGUCCGUUAAGUCGGCUGUGAAAGUCCAAGGCUCAACCUUGGGAUGCCGGUCGAUACUGCCGGACUAGAGUUCGGAAGAGGCGGGUGGAAUUCCCGGUGUAGCGGUGAAAUGCGCAGAUAUCGGGAGGAACACCUAUGGCGAAGGCAGCUCGCUGGGACGUUACUGACGCUGAGGCGCGAAAGCGUGGGUAGCAAACGGG
rnacentral:rRNA from 1 species